GUUGGGAAAGAAAAGAUUUUGAAUCAGACCUCAAGAUCCACUAAAGGCAGAAGCUGCUGAAACCAGAGGAGGGGGCAGAGCUCUCGGAUCAAUAGCCCCAGAAAUAAAAAGAGACAGAGAAGAAUUUAACUCCCCAUCUCCACUCGGGCUGAUCGAUACCCUAAUUAAGCACUUUGCAAGCAGCGUCUUUCCUAGAGGGACCUACCAGCGGGCACCUCUCUCAUGUCUGCCUGGUACUGAGCUCAUGCCGGCUGGAGACAUUUGACGGGCAGCUGGGGGCAACUGGAAGACCCCAAAAAGCCACACAGGACAGACUACGCUUGGGUGACAUCUCUAGGGACUGAGCAUCAAGAAGAUCUACUGUUGGGUGGUGGGAGUCUGUUCCUUCUCUGCUCCCCUUCCCCUGUGCCCACCUCGCCCCAAUGAAGGAACCAGAUGCCAUCAAACUUUUCAUUGGACAGAUCCCCAGGAACCUUGAUGAGAAGGACCUCAAGCCAAUCUUUGAACAGUUUGGGAAAAUUUAUGAACUUACAGUCAUUAAAGACAAAUUUACAGGGAUGCACAAAGGAUGUGCGUUCCUAACCUAUUGCGCCCGAGAGUCUGCACUUAAGGCACAGAGCGCCCUACACGAACAGAAGACCCUACCAGGGAUGAACAGACCAAUUCAGGUGAAACCAGCAGACAGCGAGAGCAGAGGAGAGGACCGCAAGCUGUUUGUUGGUAUGUUGGGGAAGCAGCAGACAGAUGAAGACGUACGGAGGAUGUUUGAACCCUUUGGAAACAUAGACGAGUGCACAGUCCUGCGGGGCCCUGACGGCACAAGCAAAGGUUGUGCAUUUGUGAAGUUCCAGACACACACGGAAGCUCAGGCCGCCAUCAACGCUUUACACGGAAGCCGGACAUUACCGGGGGCCUCCUCCAGUCUAGUAGUAAAGUUUGCAGACACGGAGAAGGAGCGAGGACUGAGGAGGAUGCAGCAAGUGGCCAAUCAGCUGGGGAUGUUCAGUCCCAUUGCCCUCCAGUUUGGCGCAUACAGCGCGUACACACAGGCAGUAAGUGACCAGCUCAUGCAGCAGCAGGCCGCCCUGGUGGCCGCACACAGCGCUUACCUCAAUCCUAUGGCCACAAUGGCCGCUGUCCAGAUGCAGCAAAUGGCGACAAUCAACCCCAACGGGAUCAUUGCCACACCCAUCACCCAAAUUAACCCAAUCACUUCUUCUUCAGGUACCAGUACUCCACCAACACUCACUGCCACUCAAGUAUCUGCCAUUCCUGCAACGCUGGGAGUCAACGGUUACAGUGCAGUACCCACCCAGAGCACCGUACAGCCCAGCUCCGAGGCAAUCUACACCAAUGGGCUGCACCCGUAUCCAGCCCAAAGUCCAGUGGCCCAGUUGGAUCCUCUACAACAAGCCUACGCAGGCAUGCAGCACUACACAGCCGCCUACCCUGCUGCUUACGGACUGGUCAGCCCGGCAUUUACCCAGCCCCCUGCGAUACUCCAACAGCAGCCCCCACAGCAACAGCAACAGAGAGAGGGUCCCGAGGGCUGCAACAUCUUUAUCUACCACCUGCCGCAGGAAUUCACAGACUCCGAGAUCCUCCAGAUGUUCCUGCCAUUUGGGAAUGUUAUUUCUGCCAAAGUGUUUGUAGACCGCGCCACCAAUCAGAGCAAAUGUUUCGGUUUUGUAAGUUUUGACAAUCCAGGCAGUGCCCAGGCUGCUAUCCAAGCAAUGAAUGGAUUCCAGAUCGGAAUGAAAAGGCUGAAAGUGCAACUCAAGCGACCAAAAGAUGCCAACAGGCCGUACUGAGGCGUUCAGGAGGCACUGUUGUACAGAAGCAGCCGGGUAAGUGUCCCUCGGUGACAAUCUGUGAGUGGCGUGUGCUCCUCAUGUGCCCUUGUGUGUGUAUUCUGCGUGUGGUCCGUAUUUUGGAGUGCGGUAUCUCCUUGUGUUUUUAUGACUGUACUUUAGUUUCUCGUUUAUAUUUUUCUUUUACAUUUGAGUCUAUUUUUUUUUUUAAAAAAAUUUUGGUUUUGUUCUUACGAGUUAGUUCUGAAAGGCUUUCCGCAAGGGCAGACAGUGAGAGAGUAAAGGGAUACUGACGUCUCUAACAUAACAGCAGCAUCGGAAUCUUAACAUAAAAUACCCCCUUGUUUGUACAUGGGGUUUAAAAAUAAUAAUAAUAAACUAAUUGAAUACCUGAUACAUUUGCCUACAACUUGGCCUUUACUCCAUUAAGUAGAAUUGGGAGGGCAAAGAUUAUUCAUGCACAUUGCCAGUAGGUGGCGCUCAGUUUAGAGUUCAGAAAGCAGUUCCUCCCAUCAGAUUUUAGCACCGCCCCCAGUUAGAGCACAAGGAAAAGACCCGCCCCCUGGGAGCCAGAAACAAUUGCAGGUAAAAAGCUCAAGGUCUUUGAUGAGAUAUCUUUUAUUUUUUGUUUCGUAAAUGCAAUGCGAAACCUAAUAAUAACUUUAUAUAUGGAAUCCUAUGCUGCCAUUAGGUUAUUGAUGUUAUUAUCACUUUAAAUACACUUUACAUAAGUAAAGAUUACGAUAUAGAUUUUUUUGUGGAGACAAGCAAAUUUAAAAAUUACAUUAAAAUCGCUACUGUCUGCCACAAUAAUUAGGCAUUUAAUAUAUAUAUAUAUAUUCAUAAAUAAAUAGAAAAAAAUUCAAGUAACAGGAAUCUACCUACCUAGUAUAAAAGGCAACAAAAAGGAAAAAUAUAUCUGUUUCAGUAAAAAUCUAUAAAAUUAAACACCACAGUGUAUGAUGACUUGGAUAUUUUGUUUUCUAAAAAUGAGAAAUUCAUAAAUUUUGUUUAUAAAAAAUAAAGAAAAAAAACUUAAUUCUAAUUAAAUAUAUAUCUAAUUAUAUCUGACUAGCCAGUAAGAACAUCAGGAAAACUGCGCUGUAAUUAUGUGUGUAUUUAAAUAUACAGUAUAUAUAGCCAUAUUCUAUAGAUUUGCCAGAAAAACAACAAGACCAAAAAAAACAGCUUCUCUUUUUCUGCCGCUUGAAACCUGCCCACCUCGUGCCAGGGUCCAAUCAAUCAUGAGAUGACUCUGUCGCUAUGACGUAACCCUAACGUCCAUUGGCUGCCCUGGGACAAGUAGCAGCGCCCCUUGGUGUGCAUAUGUUUUGGGGUGCAAGGGAAUCCUGGUUCCAGCCCCUUCUACUUUCUACUAUUUCUCUCAUGACACCUCAGAACGGAUUCAAAACUUUUUACUGCUGCUGGACCAAGGAGAACAUUUUCUUCAGGGGAAAUCUCAAACUGCUAAAUCUGGUGGUUGCCCAACUAUUAACCAGCAAGGACCUUCAGACAUAUCCAUUCCCCCAGAGAUGUAGAACAUUCCUGACUCUCUGUACGUCUUAAUAAAUGGCCGUGAGAGAUCAGAGGAACUAAAUACUCAUAGAAGAGUGGAUUUUUUUCAUGUCGCGAUUCAGCUACCAAAAUCCGGAAAGUUGGAGACAAUGGUUAAGGCCUUUGGCCGCAAAAGUGCGAUUGUACAGACACAGGUUACAUUUUUUUGUGGGCCAGGUAAUGUGUUUAGCUGAUGGUAAAUUUCGCGUCUCACAGUUGUUGGGCAGACCAGAAGUUGAGAUAUUUUUUUUUCAUAUUCCACAGGCAAGAGUUUAAGCUUCAUAUUCAAAGGGAUGGGAUGUAUAUUUCUUCAGAAUCGGGGUGCGGGGGAGCAUAUCGCACACAGAGAGCCCCUAGCUAUUUAUUCAGAAACGUCCAGGCAGCAAAGGCUGCUGUGUAAAUAGGAUAUAGGAUGGAGGGUACGGGAUUUAGUGUGCAAUAUCUUCUUAUCCCAAUGUUCUCAUUAAAAAAAAAAAAAGUACAAGACUCCUGGCCUUGAUGGUCAUCCAGAAGCCUAGCUUUACCUGCCGCCCACUCCCACCUUUUCUUAGUAGAUAAAAGUCAAAGCACCCAGCGGGGGAGUAUAUGUGAACCAUAUGAACACUGAUAAAAAAUAUUGUCCCUCUAUAGAACCAUAGAGGGACUUUUUAUUGGGUGCUCCUAGAAAGCAUAAACCUUCCUACAGAGAAUGCUACCAAACCAUAGUAGAUACUACAGCAGAGCAUUAAACUGCACAACUUCCUCUAGGGAGCUUCCUAAAAGCAUCUCCUCUCCUGUAGGGCUUAGCUGCAAACAGCACACCACUAUGUUUCUAUUGCCCUGCAGAACAUUACUCCUGCCAAUGCUCUGCAGGGUUGCUUUCUCUGCCACAUACCCUGGAAGUGAUAAUCACAUGGGGGUUCAUUUACAGCAGAAUGCUGACUUCAGAUGCACUUGAGAUAUUUAAAUGCUGGGAUGUCAUUGCACUACAUGGAAAAUGCAUCUGGCUUACAAGGGGUCAAACCCUAAUUUGGGGAUGGCUAAUGAUUGACUGCAGAAGGGCACUGACUGCCCUUUCUUCUCAGUUCCCGAUUGGUUUUUUUUUGAUUCAGUUAAGGGGGGGGGUCAGAGGUCAUAGCCGAAGGGUUGCCGCUAUCCGCGCAGAAGGAUUAAACAUGUUUACAGUCUCUGAAAUCUCCCGGAAAUUGUACAUAAUUUUGUUUGCGACUAGAGAAAACAAAAAGAAAAAAAAAAAAAAGAAAAAAUUCUCUGCCAUUUUAUCGUAAAAACUCUAGAACUAUUAAUUUUUUCUUCUUCCUUUGGUUAAGGGGAGCAGGUAUGCAGGGAAAGGGUAUUUUAAUAUAAUAUAAACAGGUGGGGGCUGGGGUUAUAAAUGACCAAUUCCCUAUGAUUAUAUAAUGCUUAACUUAUUUCUUAUUUAUUGCUGUUUAUUUGGAUUUAAUUUUUUUUCUGUCUAAAUGAAAUAAAUUUGAUGAAGAA